rnacentral:sRNA from 2 species
ACUAUGACAUCAACUUUGGAACAUCCUACUGAGUUAAAGGUCUAUGUUUUGGCUGCGCCUCUCAUUUUAUGGAUGUGGGAUGCUUAGAGGGGUGCAUGAGUGAGUCUAUUAAGCUAUCAAAGAAUCAGCAUGUUCUGUACUGAGCAUUUCAUGCAUCAUUCUCAUAUCUGAACUCAACAAUGUCUGGAAUUAGCCUAUCUGCAUUUGACUAGGCCCUCUUGAGACCAAGCAGCUAAUCUCACAAUUGAUUGGCAUUCAUCUUUUGAGGACUUUGAAGUGACAGAGGCCGCAGCUAAGAUACCAACACACAGACGUGAGAAUCUAAGAAUAGAUACUCCAAAGCACCAAUAUCUAAUAUGGAAAAAUCAUCUCUGCUGCAAUAACCUUUUAUUUGAGAUAAUGUAUCUAAUAUGGACGGUUUCCGGUCCUGUAUCAUGCAUGCUAUUAUGCUGUAUAUAUGAAUUGUUUCUACAUUAAUAUCAUCAAGAUAAAGCUAGAACUUGAUAAAUCUUUUUAAAUCUUGAGU